CCAGACUCCUACGGGAGGCAGCAGUGGGGAAUCUUCCGCAAUGGGCGCAAGCCUGACGGAGCAAUGCCGCGUGAACGAAGAAGGUCUUCGGAUUGUAAAGUUCUGUCCUUAUCGAAGAGAGGGUAUAGAGUGAAAAAUGAUAUACUAGGACGGUAGAUGAGGAGGAAGCACCGGCUAAAUACGUGCCAGCAGCCGCGGUAAUACGUAUGGUGCAAGCGUUAUCCGGAUUUACUGGGCGUAAAGGGAGCGCAGGCGGCGCGCCAAGUCUGAUGUGAAACCCCGGGGCUCAACCCCGGGCAUGCAUUGGAAACUGGCGGGCUGGAGUGCCGGAGAGGUAAGCGGAAUUCCUAGUGUAGCGGUGAAAUGCGUAGAUAUUAGGAGGAACACCAGUGGCGAAGGCGGCUUACUGGACGGCAACUGACGCUGAGGCUCGAAAGCGUGGGGAGCAAACAGGAUUAGAUACCCGUGUAC
rnacentral:rRNA from 1 species